AUUGAACGCUGGCGGCAUGCUUUACACAUGCGAGUCGAACGGUAACAGGCUUUCGGGUGCCGACUAGUGGUGAACGGGGGCGUAAUGGAGCGGAAUGUAUCCGGAUGUGCGGGAUCGCGCAGCGAAACGUGUGGUAAUACCGCCUGAGAUCUCAUGCUGAAAGCGGGGGACAGCAGAGCAAUUUUUGGCCUUGCGCGUUUGUAUCAGCCGAUGUCGGAUUAGCUAGUUGGCGGGGUAAAGGCCCACCAAGGCGACGAUCCGUAGCUGGUCUGAGAGGAUGAUCAGCCACACUGGAACUGAGACACGGUCCAGACUCCUACGGGAGGCAGCAGUGGGGAAUAUUGGACAAAGGGCGCAAGCCUGAUCCAGCAAUGCCGCGUGGGUGAAGAAGGCCUUCGGGUUGUAAAGCCCUUUUGUUAGGAAAGAAAAGCUGCCGGUUAAUACCGCGCUGUUCUGACGGUACCUAAAGAAUAAGCACCGGCUAACUACGUG
rnacentral:rRNA from 1 species